AUCAACAACUUAAAACUCUUCUGCUGAGCACAUCUACAGAGGUGCUAUAUACACCUCUGUUACACGAAGGCUAUACAUUUCCUAAUUACUGCUAUUGUGGAAAUAUUGCUUCACUCAUUGUCUUCAAAUAUGUAAAUACAAGGGAACUAAAUUUAUUCCAGACAGUUAAAGAUUCAGAAUGUGUUAUUCCUCCCAGAACAAUGACACCGAGGACAUAAUUUUUCCUUUGA
rnacentral:lncRNA from 1 species